GAUGAACGCUGGCGGCGUGCCUAAUACAUGCAAGUCGAGCGAACAGACGAGGAGCUUGCUCCUCUGACGUUAGCGGCGUACGGGUGAGUAACACGUGGAUAACCUACCUAUAAGACUGGGAUAACUUCGGGAAACCGGAGCUAAUACCGGAUAAUAUAUUGAACCGCAUGGUUCAAUAGUGAAAGACGGUUUUGCUGUCACUUAUAGAUUGAUCCGCGCCGCAUUAGCUAGUUGGUAAGGUAACGGCUUACCAAGGCAACGAUGCGUAGCCGACCUGAGAGGGUGAACGGACACACUGGAACUGAGACACGGUCCAGACUCCUACGGGAGGAAGCAGUAGGGAAUCUUACGCAAUGGGCGAAAGCCUGACGGAGCAACGCCGCGUGAGUGAUGAAGGUCUUCGGAUCGUAAAACUCUGUUAUUAGGGAAGAACAAAUGUGUAAGUAACUAUGCACGUCUUGACGGUACCUAAUCAGAAAGCCACGGCUAACUACGUG
rnacentral:rRNA from 1 species